CUUUUAAGGGUUUGGAAGUUUAAAAAGUUAUUGAGUCAUGUUUGCAGUGAAAACCUGAAAUAGACAAGCAUUUAAAUGGGUUUCAGACAGUUACGAGGAAUGUGAGCAGUACCAGCUGACAUCAGCAGUAGACAGUGACAGAAGCAGCAGUGACCUGGAUGGGGAAGAUGGUUUGACCUUGCGCGGUAGGAAGAAACGUAUGAAGAAAGCUCUGCCAAAGGACUUUAUUAGUAGUCAGGAUUUGGAUUGUUCACACUUUGCCUCAGGGCCAUCUUUACAAGUAACAGUUGCUCCCCCCCCACCACAAAAGGUUGUCACAUACAACCAUCAACACAAAGGCUUGCCAAGUGCAGCAAGAAAAAAAUCUGAAAAGACAUAAUUCUAACAGAUGUGAAAGUAACCGGCAAAAGAAGAGUAGUUACCAACAGCAAGAUGAAGGCAGUCAGCCUGAUACCCUACACGGCAGUUUGGACCUUCAUGACAACCACAGCCUAAGGAACAGAUCUGACCGACAGACGAGACAUGACAGCAGUGACCAACAAAGCAGACAUGACAG